GACGAACGCUGGCGGCGUGCCUAAUACAUGCAAGUCGAACGCAGUGGGGACGGGUGAGUAACACGUGGGUAACCUCCCAUCAGAGGGGAUAACACUUGGAAACAGGUGCUAAACCGAUACUGAUGGCUGAACCCGCGGUGCAUUAGCUAGUUGGUGGGGUAACGGCCCACCAAGGCCACGAUGCAUAGGCGACCUGAGGGGGUGAUCGGCCCCACUGGACCUGAGCCACGCCCCAACCUCCUAGGGUGGGCGGCAGUAGGAAAUCUUCGCCAAUGACCGAAAGUCUGACCGGGCAACGCCGGGUGAGUGAAGAAGGUUUCCGGAUCGUAAAACUCUGUUGUUAGAGAAGCGGUAUCUAACCAGAAAGCCACGGCUAACUACGUGCCAGCAGCCGCGGUAAUUC
rnacentral:rRNA from 1 species